AUUUUCCCUUUCAUGAUACCCAUACACGCCUCUUCUCCAUGGUUAUUAAAGGUGCGCCUCAGGCACACCUCAGGCUCAACAGGCUCAAACCCUAACGCCUCUAUAGAAGAAAGACAAGCGAUAUUCACCAGGCUCUCACCUUAUGCGCCUAGGUACACGCCUUGCUUUAGGCGCAAGGCUCUAUAAAGGCGCACCUUUUUUAUUUACACUUUCAGCGAA
rnacentral:misc_RNA from 1 species